rnacentral:lncRNA from 1 species
UAUUUUUAAGUAUAUAAUAUUAUAUAUCCAAUAAAAAAUUAAAAUCUAAAUACAAUACAAAUAUUAAUAACUUUCAACUGUAAAAGUUUAAAAGAACUUAAAUGAAAAUUAUAUAAAAAAAACUUAAUAGAAAUAAGCAUACUGGAAAACUAAAAUAACAUUAAAUAUCAAAAUUUUAUUAAAUUAUUGUAAUAGACCAUUUUUGCCCGGGCCCAAUAAAAAAACCAAAAAAAUAAAUAAAUUAAUAGUCUCAGUCCACUCACAACAGGCCCAAAUAGCCCAAACCCAAAAUAAAAAAACCCUAGGCGGCCAGAUAAGCCCAAAAACUUAAACAAUGUCACCCUCUUCAGCCGCCAGCCUCCUCACACGCGCCAGCACCGCUGCAUGCCAUCACCACGCUCGUCUGACACCUGCAAAAAUUGAAUGCAACAACAAAAAAGGCAUGCCAAGCAAUAAAAACAACAGAGAAAAAGACAAAAAAAAAAUAGAAAACAAACAGUUUGUAAUGGUCUAUAAAAACAACAAUAGGCACUUUGUAUUUUCUUCUUCUACGGAUAUACAAUAAAAAAUCAAAACAGAAACA